CCUACGGGUGGCAGCAGUGAGGAAUAUUGGUCAAUGGACGAGAGUCUGAACCAGCCAAGUAGCGUGAAGGAUGACUGCUCUAUGGGCUGUAAACUUCUUUUAUAUGGGAAUAAAACGUUCCACGUGAGUGAUUUUGUAUGUACCAUAUGAAUAAGGAUCGGCUAACUCCGUUCCAGCAGCCGCGGUAAUACGGAGGAUCCGAGUGUUACCCGGAUUUAUUGGGUUUAAAGGGAGCGUAGGUGGAUUGUUAAGUCAGUUGUGAAAGUUUGCGGCUCAACCGUAAAAUUGCAGUUGAAACUGGCAGUCUUGAGUACAGUAGAGGAGGGCGGAAUUCGUGGUGUAGCGGUGAAAUGCUUAGAUAUCACGAAGAACUCCGAUUGCGAAGGCAGUUCACUGGACUGCAACUGACACUGAGGCUCGAAAGUGUGGGUAUCAAACAGGAUUAGAUACCCGGGUAGUC
rnacentral:rRNA from 1 species